GUACGGAAGGCAGCAGUGAGGAAUAUUGGUCAAUGGAGGCAACUCUGAACCAGCCAUGCCGCGUGCAGGAUGACGGUCCUAUGGAUUGUAAACUGCUUUUGUACAGGAAGAAACCCUACUUCGUGAAGUAGAUUGACGGUACUGUAAGAAUAAGGAUCGGCUAACUCCGUGCCAGCAGCCGCGGUAAUACGGAGGAUCCAAGCGUUAUCCGGAAUCAUUGGGUUUAAAGGGUCCGUAGGCGGCUUAGCAAGUCGGUGGUGAAAUCUCCCCGCUCAACGGGGAAACGGCCAUUGAUACUACUAGGCUUGAAUUAUUAGGAAGUAACUAGAAUAUGUAGUGUAGCGGUGAAAUGCUUAGAUAUUACAUGGAAUACCAAUUGCGAAGGCAGGUUUCUACUAAUUGAUUGACGCUGAUGGACGAAAGCGUGGGGAGCGAACAGGAUUAGAUACCCCUGUAGUCCG
rnacentral:rRNA from 1 species